GAUCAUGGCUCAGGAUGAACGCUGGCGGCGUGCUUAACACAUGCAAGUCGAACGAGCGGAGGACCUCCGGGUCCGAAGCGAGUGGCGGACGGGUGAGUAACGCGUGGGUAACCUGCCUUAUACCGGGGGAUAACAGAUGGAAACGACUGUUAAUACCGCAUAAGCCCACAGUGCCGCAUGGUACAGUGAGAAAAGUUCCGGCGAUAUAAGAUGGACCCGCGUCUGAUUAGUUAGUUGGUGGGGUAACGGCCUACCAAGACGACGAUCAGUAGCCGACCUGAGAGGGUGAUCGGCCACAUUGGGACUGAGACACGGCCCAAACUCCUACGGGAGGCAGCAGUGGGGAAUAUUGGGCAAUGGGCGCAAGCCUGACCCAGCGACGCCCGCGUGAGUGAAGAAGUAUUUCGGUAUGUAAAGCUCUAUCAGCAGGGAAGAUCAUGACGGUACCUGACUAAGAAGCACCGGCUAAAUACGUGCCAGCAGCCGC
rnacentral:rRNA from 1 species